rfam:Aedes aegypti strain Liverpool supercont1.80 genomic scaffold, whole genome shotgun sequence.
CCUCUCAUGGCGAAGUGGUUAACGCCCCCCAACUAGAAAUCGGGGAGUCGUGAGUUCGAUUCUCACUGAGAAGA